CCUACGGGAGGCAGCAGUGGGGAAUAUUGCACAAUGGGCGAAAGCCUGACGCAGCGACGCCGCGUGAGGGAUGAAGGUCUUCGGAUCGUAAACCUCUGUUAGUAGGGAAGAACGGUCACUGUGCUAAUCAGCAUUGAAUUGACGGUACCUGCAAAGGAAGCACCGGCUAACUCCGUGCCAGCAGCCGCGGGAAUACGGAGGGUGCGAGCGUUAAUCGGAUUUAUUGGGCGUAAAGCGAGUGUAGGCGGUAUGGUAAGUCAAGUGUGAAAUCCCCGCGCUCAACGUGGGAACUGCAGUUGAAACUGGCGAACUGGAGUGCGUGAGAGGAUAGUGGAAUUCCAGGUGUAGGAGUGAAAUGCGUAGAUAUCUGGAGGAACAUCAGUGGCGAAGGCGACUAUCUGGCACGUAACUGACGCUGAGGAGCGAAAGCGUGGGUAGCGAACAGGAUUAGAUACCCUUGUAGUC
rnacentral:rRNA from 1 species